rnacentral:rRNA from 1 species
UACGUAGGGGGCAAGCGUUGUCCGGAUUUAUUGGGCGUAAAGAGCGUGUAGGCGGCCAGGUAGGUCAGCUGUGAAAACUCAAGGCUCAACCUCGAGAUGUCGGCUGAAACCAUCUGGCUAGAGUCCGGAAGAGGAGAAUGGAAUUCCCGGUGUAGCGGUGAAAUGCGCAGAUAUCGGGAAGAACACCCGUGGCGAAGGCGGUUCUCUGGGACGGUACUGACGCUGAGACGCGAAAGCGUGGGGAGCGAACAGG